CAAGUCGAGCGAAUCUGAGGGAGCUUGCUCCCAAAGAUUAGCGGCGGACGGGUGAGUAACACGUGGGCAACCUGCCUGUAAGACUGGGAUAACUUCGGGAAACCGGAGCUAAUACCGGAUAACAUAUGAGACCUCAUGGUCUCAUAUUGAAAGAUGGCUUCUAGCUAUCACUUACAGAUGGGCCCGCGGCGCAUUAGCUAGUUGGUGAGGUAACGGCUCACCAAGGCGACGAUGCGUAGCCGACCUGAGAGGGUGAUCGGCCACACUGGGACUGAGACACGGCCCAGACUCCUACGGGAGGCAGCAGUAGGGAAUCUUCCGCAAUGGACGAAAGUCUGACGGAGCAACGCCGCGUGAGCGAAGAAGGUCUUCGGAUCGUAAAGCUCUGUUGUUAGGGAAGAACAAGUAUCGUUCGAAUAGGGCGGUACCUUGACGGUACCUAACCAGAAAGCCACGGCUAACUACGUGCCAGCAGCCGCGGUAAUACGUAGGCGGCAAGCGUUAUCCGGAAUUAUUGGGCGUAAAGCGCGCGCAGGCGGUCCUUUAAGUCUGAUGUGAAAGCCCACGGCUCAACCGUGGAGGGUCAUUGGAAACUGGGGGACUUGAGUGCAGAAGAGGAGAGCGGAAUUCCACGUGUAGUGGUGAAAUGCGUAGAGAUGUGGAGGAACACCAGUGGCGAAGGCGGCUCUCUGGUCUGUAACUGACGCUGAGGCGCGAAAGCGUGGGGAGCGAACAGGAUUAGAUACCCUGGUAGUCCACGCCGUAAACGAUGAGUGCUAAGUGUUAGAGGGUUUCCGCCCUUUAGUGCUGCAGCAAACGCAUUAAGCACUCCGCCUGGGGAGUACGGUCGCAAGACUGAAACUCAAGGAAUUGACGGGGGCCCCACAAGCGGUG
rnacentral:rRNA from 1 species